rnacentral:rRNA from 1 species
AAAACUCACCAGGUCAGGACACGGUAAGGAUUGACGGACUGAAGGCUUCUUUCUCGAUUCCGUGGAAAGUGGUGCAUGGCCGUUUUUGGUUGGUGGAUCGAUCCGUCUGGUUAAUUCCGUUAACGAACGAGACCUCGGCACUCCGAAUAGCGCGGCGGACGUCGCGGCCUCCGGGCCGUCUUCCGCACGAGCUUCUUAGAGGGACCGUCCCCCGCCGGGGAAGGAGGUGCGAGGCAACGACAGGUCUGUGAUGCCCUUAGAUGUUCUGGGCCGCACGCGCAUUACACUGACGCGUCCAACGGGUGACUCCCGACCCGAAGGGGCCGGGGAAUCCCGCAAGGCGCGUCGUGAUGGGGAUUGAACGUUGCAAUUGUUGUUCACGAACGAGGAAUUCCUAGUAGGCGCGGGUCACUCAACCCGCGCCGAUUACGUCCCUGCCCUUUGUACACA